CCUACGGGUGGCAGCAGUGAGGAAUAUUGGUCAAUGGACGAGAGUCUGAACCAGCCAAGUAGCGUGAAGGAUGACUGCCCUAUGGGUUGUAAACUUCUUUUAUAUGGGAAUAAAAUGUUCCACGUGUGGGUUUUUGUAUGUACCAUAUGAAUAAGGAUCGGCUAACUCCGUGCCAGCAGCCGCGGUAAUACGGAGGAUCCGAGCGUUAUCCGGAUUUAUUGGGUUUAAAGGGAGCGUAGGUGGGUUGUUAAGUCAGUUGUGAAAGUUUGCGGCUCAACCGCAAAAUUGCAGUUGAAACUGGGAGCCUUGAGUACAGUGGAGGUAGGCGGAAUGCGUGGUGUAGCGGUGAAAUGCUUAGAUAUCACGAAGAACCCCGAUUGCGAAGGCAGCUCACUGGACUGCAACUGACACUGAGGCUCGAAAGUGUGGGUAUCAAACAGGAUUAGAUACCCUUGUAGUC
rnacentral:rRNA from 1 species